ensembl:lncRNA
CUGAGGCCAAGGCUGGGAUAAAAGGACCUCGGGGCCAGACCACCUCCAUCCACUCCUCUCCUGAGGUGCUGACAGACCCUGAGCUGCUUGUACUCUGGUGAGUGUCCACUGGGAAGGAGAUAGGGCCUUGGGGGCCGUGGUCCGUAUUAUUAGAGAGAGACAAGGCCUGGAAGGACGGAAGGAGCCAGGAACUGGCAGGAAGAGUGAGAGAACCAUAGGAGUUUAGUGAUGACUAGGGACACUCUGAGGGAACCAAAGAUGCUGUAUAGGACUCCCAGGAUGAAAGGAAACCAUUGGCUGCUCUGACAUUCUGGAACAGGUCUCAGAAAUGGAGUUUACCUUCAAGAGAUACUGUAUUCCCUGCAAAGUACGAUCUGGGGACAGCAAUUCUCAGAGUGAGGCAAGGAUCAGAGGCACUCUGGGAGAUUGCUGCAUACGUGGGUCAGGAUAGAGCCUGGGAAUGCAUUGUACAAGUUCUAGAGGGGAAAAAGCACAAGAAGUUUAAAGCUCUCUAGGUCAAGGAUAGUGUAAGAGGUGUCUCUGAGGCCAUCAGAAGCCAGGUUCUGAUAAGGGACGUCUUAUCUUUCUCUCUAACAAGGUGAACCAGCCAGGAAAUUGCUAAGACUCCUUCCAAUCUAAUGUUGUAAAUAUCUAAAAUGUUCAAUUAUUUGCAAUGUUAACAAAAUAUUUUUUCCAUAAAGAAAAUAUUUUGGUAAUAUUUGGAUGACAUAAGUGAAAAAAUUAUGUUUUAGUGAAUAUCAUUUGGUCUCAGUCUUCAAAUUAAUGAAACAAUUGAUGACCUCGUUUUACUUUAAAAUGAUAAGCUGAGGUUCAGAGGAGAUGCUGUCAGAGUGGUUGAUAAGACAUUAAAAUGAUAAAAGGGUCAGGUUAUUUAAAUGCAUGUAUUAGAAAUGAUUCUAAAAGUUCAGGAAGGGGCAGGGAGGUCUCUGUGUGCUGNNNNNNNNNNGCAGACCCCAGAGGUCUGACUGCUGCCCCCAGCCCUCGGGGGGCUCCGGGUGCUGCGGAGGGGGAAGCGGUCAGUCCUCUGGAGGCGGGUGCUGCUGAAGUGGACCCUGAGCCAAGAAGAGCCGACCUGGGCACGACAGACGGACAAACACUUCCUCCUCCUCCUCACCUCUUGCUGGGCCUGCCCCUGUCCCUGGGCAUUUGGGUGAGGCCUUUGAGCUCUGGUCCAGGGGAUCCCUGUGCCUUGGGGUCCAGGACCCCCAAACCUCUCCCCCAAACCCAUUUAUUCACCUCCUUUCCCACAUGUGUGGCAGCCUUGGAAACCCCAAAGCACAGACUCUGUGUUUAUUAUUUUAACUUGGGCAGCAGGAUGCAAUAAGUUACAGGGGGACACGGGGGUCUGUGCUUUGGGAUUCCCAGGGCCAUCACACGUAUGGCAAAGGAGGUGAAUAAAUGGGUUUCAGGGAGAGGUCUGGGGAUCCUGGACCCUAGGGCACAGCGAUCCUCAGCCCAGACUCCCCAGCAAGAGGGGCAGGCCCAGCAGGAGGUGACGGAGGAGGAGGAAGUGUUUGUCCAUCUGUUGUCCCCAGGUCGGCUCUUCUCGGCACAGGGUCCACUUCAGCAGCAGUCGCCUCCAGAGGACUGACCGCUUCCCCCUCCGCAGCACCCGGAGCCCCCCGAGGGCUGGCUGCAGCAGUCAGACCUCUGGGGUCUGCUGUGGUGGGACCUGCGGCGCCUGUGGUGGCUCAGGCAGCAGCCCCCACACCCAGAGCCGCAGCAGCCCCCGGAGCUGGGGCCACAGCAGCCCCCAGAGCUGACACCACAGCAAGAGGAGACUGGGGGGCACUUCGGGGGGCAUUUAGAGGUGGGGCACUUGGGGGUGCACUUGGGAGGGGGCUGGCAUUGUUGCUGGUUCUGCUGGCAGGACAUCUUGGUGGGCAGGCUCAGGAUCUGAGGGAGAGACAGACAGCAGGUAAGAUCUAGCACACAGAGACCUCCCUUCCCCCUUUUGCCCUCUUAGCAUCACUUAUAAUCUUAAAAGCAUAAUAUCCAGUAGUUUUACUACUCUUAGUAGCUUUCCCAUACUCUUGAAUUUUGUAUUUGAAACUUCAGCACAGUUGUGUAAGUCAGACAAGACCUUUCAUCUACUUGUACAAAGUAGUAACCUAAGACCAAAC